GACGAACGCUGGCGGCGUGCUUAACACAUGCAAGUCGAACGGUGAACCCGCUUCGGUGGGGGAUCAGUGGCGAACGGGUGAGUAACACGUGGGCAACCUGCCCCCAGCUCUGGGAUAACUCCAAGAAAUUGGGGCUAAUACCGGAUAUGACCGCUGACCGCAUGGUCUGGUGGUGGAAAGAUUUAUCGGCUGGGGAUGGGCCCGCGGCCUAUCAGCUUGUUGGUGGGGUAGUGGCCUACCAAGGCGACGACGGGUAGCCGGCCUGAGAGGGUGACCGGCCACACUGGGACUGAGACACGGCCCAGACUCCUACGGGAGGCAGCAGUGGGGAAUAUUGCGCAAUGGGCGGAAGCCUGACGCAGCGACGCCGCGUGGGGGAUGACGGCCUUCGGGUUGUAAACCUCUUUCAGCAGGGACGAAGCGAAAGUGACGGUACCUGCAGAGGAAGCACCGGCCAACUACGUGCCAGCCGCCGCCGUAACAC
rnacentral:rRNA from 1 species